rnacentral:rRNA from 1 species
UACGUAGGGGGGCAAGCGUUGUCCGGAUUUAUUGGGCGUAAAGAGCGUGUAGGCGGCCAGACAAGUCUGCUGUGAAAACUCGAGGCUCAACCUCGAGCUGUCGGUGGAAACUGUCUGGCUAGAGUCCGGAAGAGGAGAGUGGAAUUCCUGAUGUAGCGGUGAAAUGCGCAGAUAUCAGGAAGAACACCUAUGGCGAAGGCAGCUCUCUGGGACGGUACUGACGCUGAGACGCGAAAAGCGUGGGGAGCGAACAGG